GGAGAAACAACAACUGACAAGCAGCAAAAACAGCAGUCUCUCGCUGUUGUUUUCACUUCUUUCAGAAAAGGUUUAGUGUCUUCGAAAAACUCCGUUAUCAUCUCCGUUAGCAUCCCGUUUUCAGAAGAGCAGCAACAAAAUAACCUCUCUACAACAGAGGGGAAGCUCCGAAGAUUUCAACAUUUCUGAAGGAAGCUGCUGACAGAAGAAGGAAACACAGAUACUUCCCUGCUGAUACCUUGCACCAUAGCAGAGUUGGAGCGGAUAAAAAAGUUCCUGUCGGACCACAUAACUAGCUGCAUUCAUUGGAUCCACAUACAGUAAAAACAG